rnacentral:pre_miRNA from 1 species
UCUUAUAAAUGAGCAAAGAAAGCAGUUUCUUGAGAUGGAAUCUACUCCUGGUGAAGAUGCUGUGUA